CCUACGGGUGGCAGCAGUGAGGAAUAUUGGUCAAUGGACGAGAGUCUGAACCAGCCAAGUAGCGUGAAGGAUGACUGCCCUAUGGGUUGUAAACUUCUUUUAUAUGGGAAUAAAAUGUUCCACGUGUGGGAUUUUGUAUGUACCAUAUGAAUAAGGAUCGGCUAACUCCGUGCCAGCAGCCGCGGUAAUACGGAGGAUCCGAGCGUUAUCCGGAUUUAUUGGGUUUAAAGGGAGCGUAGGUGGAUUGUUAAGUCAGUUGUGAAAGUUUGCGGCUUAACCGUAAAAUUGCAGUUGAAACUGGCAGUCUUGAGUACAGUAGAGGUGGGCGGAAUGCGUGGUGUAGCGGUGAAAUGCUUAGAGAUCACGAAGAACUCCGAUUGCGAAGGCAGUUCACUGGACUGCAACUGACACUGAGGCUCGAAAGUGUGGGUAUCAAACAGGAUUAGAUACCCGGGUAGUC
rnacentral:rRNA from 1 species